UUGGAGGGCAAGUCUGGUGCCAGCAGCCGCGGUAAUUCCAGCUCCAAUAGCGUAUAUUAAAGUUGUUGCAGUUAAAAAGCUCGUAGUUGAAUUUCGGGGUCAAUAAGUUGGUCGUGCCAAUGGUAUGCACUGGCUUUAUUGAUUCCUACCUCUUGACGAACUGUGAUGCCAUUAAUUUGGUGACGCAAGGAAUCAGGGCUGUUACCUUGAAAAAAUUAGAGUGUUUAAAGCAGGCUUACGCUUGAAUACAUUAGCAUGGAAUAAUGAAAUAGGACGUUUGAACCUAUUUUGUUGGUUUCUAGGAUCGACGUAAUGAUUAAUAGGGAUAGUUGGGGGCAUUAGUAUUCAAUUGUCAGAGGUGAAAUUCUUGGAUUUAUUGAAGACUAACUACUGCGAAAGCAUUUGCCAAGGAUGGUUUCAUUAAUCAAGAACGAAAGUUAGGGGAUCGAAGACGAUCAGAUACCGUCGUAGUCUUAACCAUAAACUAUGCCGACUAGGGAUCGGAUGAUGUUAAUUUUUUAAUGACUCAUUCGGCGCCUUACGGGAAACCAAAGUGUUUGGGUUC
rnacentral:rRNA from 1 species